rnacentral:rRNA from 1 species
GUGGGAAUCUGCCCCUUGGUUCGGAAUAACAGUUGGAAACGACUGCUAAUACCGGAUGACGACGUAAGUCCAAAGAUUUAUCGCCGAGGGAUGAGCCCGCGUAGGAUUAGGUAGUUGGUGUGGUAAAGGCGCACCAAGCCGACGAUCCUUAGCUGGUCUGAGAGGAUGAUCAGCCACACUGGGACUGAGACACGGCCCAGACUCCUACGGGAGGCAGCAGUGGGGAAUAUUGGACAAUGGGCGAAAGCCUGAUCCAGCAAUGCCGCGUGAGUGAUGAAGGCCUUAGGGUUGUAAAGCUCUUUUACCCGGGAUGAUAAUGACAGUACCGGGAGAAUAAGCUCCGGCUAACUCCGUGCCAGCAGCCGCGGUAAUACGGAGGGAGCUAGCGUUAUUC